ACGAACGCUGGCGGCGUGCCUAAUACAUGCAAGUCGAGCGGAAUGAUGAAGAAGCUUGCUUCUUCUGAUUUUAGCGGCGGACGGGUGAGUAACACGUGGGCAACCUACCUUGUAGAUUGGGAUAACUCCGGGAAACCGGGGCUAAUACCGAAUAAUCCAUUUUGCUUCAUGGCGAGAUGUUAAAAGGCGGCUUCGGCUGUCACUACGAGAUGGGCCCGCGGCGCAUUAGCUAGUUGGUAGGGUAAUGGCCUAACAAGGCGACGAUGCGUAGCCGACUUGAGAGGGUGAUCGGCCACACUGGGACUGAGACACGGCCCAGACUCCUACGGGAGGCAGCAGUAGGGAAUCUUCCACAAUGGACGAAAGUCUGAUGGAGCAACGCCGCGUGAGUGAAGAAGGUUUUCGGAUCGUAAAACUCUGUUGUAAGGGAAGAACACGUACGAGAGUAACUGCUCGUACCUUGACGGUACCUUAUUAGAAAGCCACGGCUAACUACGUG
rnacentral:rRNA from 1 species